UACGGGGGGGGCAAGCGUUGUUCGGAAUUACUGGGCGUAAAGGGCUCGUAGGCGGCCAACUAAGUCGGAUGUGAAAUCCCUCGGCUUAACCGGGGAACUGCGUCUGAUACUGGAUGGCUUGAGUUUGGGAGAGGGAUGCGGAAUUCCAGGUGUAGCGGUGAAAUGCGUAGAUAUCUGGAGGAACACCGGUGGCGAAGGCGGCUCUCUGGGCCUUACCUGACGCUGAGGAGCGAAAAGCGUGGGUAGCGAACAGG
rnacentral:rRNA from 1 species